AGGAUUACAAGAGUGAGCUGGUAGUGUGUGGCUUGUGAUAUAAUAUUUAAUCAAAUUGAUUGUAUUGAGCAAUGAGUAAAGUACACCUUUGGUUGUGCCUUUGAUGACAUUUCCAAAUAUUAUUAAAUCACCAGAUGCCCUGGCCUAAUAAAUCAAUUGUACCCUGAUGGAUUUAUAAUAAUAUGGUAUUAUUGGAUGGUGAUGAUAGGUCACUGGGAACAGGUCCUUGAAGGAUAUGUCUCAUUCUAGACUUACCCUGUAUUCCCAAUAGGAAUAGUAUAUAUACUCUGCUUUCCAACUACCAUGAUGUAAAUGGUUCUGCUUUGCCAUGCCCUGAUAGAUUGACUCCAUGAGCUAAAGUAAAUAUUGUACUCAAGGCA